rnacentral:rRNA from 1 species
CCUACGGGAUGCAGCAGUGAGGAAUAUUGGUCAAUGGGCGAGAGCCUGAACCAGCCAAGUCGCGUGAGGGAUGACGGCCCUAUGGAUUGUAAACCUCUUUUGUCGGGGAGCAAAGGACGCCACGCGUGGCGCAUCGAGAGUACCCGGAGAAAAAGCAUCGGCUAACUCCGUGCCAGCAGCCGCGGUAAUACGGAGGAUGCGAGCGUUAUCCGGAUUUAUUGGGUUUAAAGGGUGCGCAGGCGGAAGAUCAAGUCAGCGGUAAAAUUGAGAGGCUCAACCUCUUCGAGCCGUUGAAACUGGUUUUCUUGAGUGAGCGAGAAGUAUGCGGAAUGCGUGGUGUAGCGGUGAAAUGCAUAGAUAUCACGCAGAACUCCGAUUGCGAAGGCAGCGUACCGGCGCUCAACUGACGCUCAUGCACGAAAGUGUGGGUAUCGAACAGGAUUAGAUACCCGUGUAGUC